UUUGGGAGGUAGUGACAAUAAAUCACAAUGCGGGACUAUCAGUCUUGCAAUUGGAUUGAGAACAAUGUACAACUCUUAUCGAUAAGCCAUUGGAGGGCAAGUCUGGUGCCAGCAGCCGCGGUAAUUCCAGCUCCAAUAGCGUAUAUUAACGUUGUUGCAGUUAAAAAGCUCGUAGUUGAAGUGUGGGUGAUCGCUGUUGUGAGACUUCGGUCUCUCGACAGUAAGUCACCCCCUUCCAGUAUCCAGUAGUGGGUAUUCAGUUACUUACUAUUGUGUGUUGGUCGUUUACUGUGAGAAAAUUAGAGUGUUCAAAGCAGGCGUUUGCUUGAAUAGAUUAGCAUGGAAUAAUAAUUGAAGGCUUUCGUGUUCGAUUUGAUUGGUUUGUUCAUGGAAGCAAGGUUAAAAGGAACAGUUGGGGGUAUUCAUAUUCACUAGUAGUAGGGAGCUCGCUUUGUC
rnacentral:rRNA from 1 species